CUAAAAUCUAUCUCUGAUUCAUCACUUUGUCUGCCCUUCUAUCAGAUAUUAUUGUUUGGGAUUAAAGAUGUGAAACAAAGGAUUCCAACCAGAUGGUUGAAAGGUGUGUACUAAGGGUGUGUCUGCAUAUCAGCUGGAUAGCACAGACAUCCAAGAUAUUUUCGUGUCAAGUUUCCUCUGAGCUACCAGAGGGAACACUUGCUGGUCUGUCUUCCUAUACUAAACAUUACCAUCUACCAUCUAGCAAUAGGAUAGUCAAUGGAUGUUUGCUGAAUCAAGAGAAGGUUAUGGAUUUCUUUAUCUCAAAACAAAAAUGAGUCAUUUCCCUGACUGUCAGAAGAUGGUCUCUCGAGACAAUAUGUCAUAAAAGGAGGCCAUAGAUUCAAUCUGCGCAGAGUUCUGAGUGUCGCCUCAGAUACGAAGACUUGUCAUCCGUCUUUAUCAGGUUAUUCCUGAUUACCUAUGUGCCAAGAUAAUAUAUGAAAAUUGAAGAAAGCACAAGUGGGAAAUGGAGAAUAUGAAGGCUUUAUGUGCAAAAGUUUGACAAGAAUCAACAUAUAACUUAGUAGAACAUUUUGUGAUUCUUCUAGUCUACUGGAGGAAGAAGCUACUGUGAGAAGCUAUUAUCAUCACCCAUCAUGUCCAUGUGUGCUUGAAGGCCAUUAUACUUCAAAACAUACUAAGCUAUGUUGAUAGAUGAAACUCUACAUCCUGUUCUAAAAAUAGGUCUGCCAUCUAUGAAUCUGCUGAUAUACAUUCUUAAACUUAGUUUCUUAACAGCUGAUAUCCUUCAUAUUGUCUGGCAUUCACAUUCAAUUUCUCCUCUCAAUAUUAUGUUUUGUAAAUGGAACAAGAACUGCUGGGAACCAGUUUGUUUAUUUGGUUUGGAUUGUUUUUGGUUUGUUUUCUUUCCUUUCAGUAUGUUUAAAAUUUGAUUGUAAUAUUAAUGUGUAUCUACUUAGACUUUGAACUAACCUUAACAUCUAUGAGGCUUUGGUCUUACAUCUGCAUAACUGAUGGUGUGUAGGUAAAAAACUUGAAGAUUGAAAGACCUCAAAAUUAAAUAAAAAUAUCCUCAAAACAUCUAUCACUGUAAUUAUCUUUCUAGAUUAAGAAAAGAAAGAAAUUAGUGCUAAAUUUCAAUUAUACAAGGCAGUCUUGAAUACAGACAUAACUCCUGCUCAAAUAUAAAGAUAUCUUUUAGUUUAUGCUAACAAUUUUAUUUAACUUUCAUUGCAUGUACAAUAUUGUAGUUUCUUCUGGCAACAGACACAUCUCCAAUGAGACUUACUCUUUGACUGGGCAGGGAAAUCAAGUAAAUAAAUUUGAUAUAACUUAAAGGAAGAUCAAGGUUAUGAUAAGAACUUUACUGGCUCAAUGAAACAAUAUAAAUGACUGGUAUUAGAGUAGGAAUUUUAAAAAGGCUAGAGAGUUUUCCAUUUUUACAGGAUCAGGUUAACUCAUGUACAUUUCCCCUUACAUUUGACAUUAAUACUAUUCUUUAUAAAAUGUUUUAGAAGCAUAUAUUAGUUUCUCCAUCUCUACAGAUACUGAUUAGAAAGGAAUAAACACUUUUACAGAAUAAGGAACCAAUCUAGAAUCUCAUGAAGAGAAAACAACUGACUUUUUGUUCAGAGUGUGAAUCAAAUUUUAGAGAGAGCCAGAUUAGAACCCUGUCAAACUAAUUAUAUUUUGAAUGAAGCAAUAAGAGAAAUACAUUCUUAAAUCAGGACAUAAUUAUAAGAAUUUAACACUUUAAAGCUAAAAAUUAAAAUGGACUCUUGGAAAUACCAUCUGAUAUUAUAAGUUAUAUUUAAUAACCAUGUUGACAGUUAUUAAAAUGUUUUAAUAAUUUUAAUUUUAAUAAUCAUUUUGUGAUGUUGGAAAUCCAACCCUUGACUUUGUAUGUGCUCAAGGAGGGCUCUACCAUUCAGCUGAAAAUCUUCUCCAAUUGGUGUGACAUGAUUAUAAUAGGUUGAAGAGAGUAUUCAUAUGUAUUAGGUUUAAAAAUUUUACUGCCUAUAUCCUGGGUUGUUGUUUAUUGGUUGAGUACUAGUCUAGGUCAGAUCAGUUCUGACAAUUGAAAAAAAAAUCAAACAUAAUAAAAAUACAUUUAUUCUAGUGAUAAAAACAAUUGGUAGAAAUGAACAGGUAUAUAAACUGGGUUGAACAUUCUUCUUAAAAAUGGUUUCCCUCUUUGAUAGUUUUGACUCAGCUUUCUCUGUUUUGCUUUACUAUUUUCCAUUUUGACUUCAAUUUUCCAAAACAGAAUCAAUUUUGUCUCCUGUUUUGGCUUUUUUUAUUGGAUCUCUUACUGGCUUUCAUUUGGAGGUUAACUAUGUCAACAAAAAGUUUGCAUUCAGUGAGUUAUAUCUAAGGGGAUGACUAACACAUACUAUUAAAACAUAAGGGUACAUUGUAAACACAGAUAAGAUUAAGGUAUUUGUAUGGGGCAAGAGCCUGGGAAUAUUUUAUUAAAUCAAAUACAUUUGCAGAAACAGUGCAGAUAGUUUUUCAACUCAAAAUAGGGUAAGAACAAGAGAAAUUGCAUAACUCCUUGGAGAAUGAGACUUUAUUGAGAAAAUUAUUACAUGCAUUCAGUAUGCAAUGAAAGUUCUUUUGGACUGGAUGGAUUCAGGUUCUCUCUAUCCAUGGUAAUCAGAGGAUAUGGGAAAAUGGAUUUACAUCUCAAACUAGUAAUUCAAAGCAACUUGAAAAAAAAUCAAUAAGAGAAAUAGAGGUGCAGAAAAUAUGUUAGAGUCUUUUAUGAGACCAGGAGUGAAUGAGGCUUGAGUACACAGUCUAUCAGUUCAGAAUCACAAACUUGAAUCUUCAAGAAAUCAUUGUGUAAUCUUAGAAGUCUUAUAAAAUAAUAUGUUUCUCUGUCAGACUACAUUUUUCCUGGUUUAUUCAACCAUUUUUCAAAUACUCUGUUUCAUAAGCCAGAUCCUUUCUAGGUCCUUGCAAAGGUUGAUUCUAAAGUAUUUCCAUCUUCUGUAGCUCUAUUUUGCUUUAUUAAAUGUAGCUUUAAUGUGAUAAAGGCAAUAUACUUGAAUGUUUUAAAUGUGCUCUUCCUAUUUUCUAUUCCCCAAAUGCUUAUCUUUGAAGCUAGUAGUACAUUGUUUGACACAGGCACUGAAAUGUUUUCCCUGUCCCUGAUUCCAGAUGGCAUAAACAGCUUUCUGUCUCCAAUUGGAAAAUGUCACACUCUACACUCGGGACAACUUUCCACUUAAAAAAUAAUCCCAUUGGCAAAUUAUUUGGAAUUUAGAUAACUGAUUAAAUUAAUUAGGCUUUUAAUCUAUAUUGUUUUAUGUGAAGCAUUCUGUGUGCUCUGUUUUCAAAUAUGGAUAUUUAAAAGUAAAAUAUUGUUGCUUUUCUCAUAAAAUAGCCAUUAAUAUUUCAGACACAACUAAUUAGUUAAUGAAGUACCAUGUUCUGAAAGCCAGAUUUAUGACAAUUUACAUUGUUAUUGGUUAAGUUUGUCAUGUAUUUGUUAUUCUCUGUAAGCCCACUAUUUGGACCUUAGGCCAAAUAUGACCAUUUUCAAUGUAUUUUAAAGAGUUUUUUGAAAUUGUAUGUGAUUAAUUCAUAAUAAUUAUAUAUAAAUCAAAAUGCCACCACACAUGAGUUCACAUACAUCCAAAGAUUAGAGAUUUAGAUUACUUCUAUGUCUCUUGAGGUGCAUAUGUGUUUAGAAAAUAGUUUUAAAAAAUUGCUAAUAAUUCCAAUGGGUGAUUUAGACAUCUGGUAAACCUCAGCACAGGUUUUGAAAUGUUCCUCCCAACAUCUGUGAUACUUUGCUCUAAUUAUGUCAAAGCAGCACAGAAAUAGAUGAAAAUGAAUGCCUCCUGGGAAUUAAGGUCAUGAGGGAAAACAUUAUAAGGUGUUGGGGACUUUUUUUUUAAUUAAAAGUAUUUGAUUACUUUCACAACAUUUGCUCUCUUGGCAGGCAGCCUUUCCUAAGCAGAUAUAUAUUAGAAAGACAGUUUUAUAAAGUGAUGCUGAAAGGAAUUAAUGGCAAUUGUGCACAAAUCUGAGAUUCCCCUUAAUGAUCCAGUGUUAUUUCUUUGAUACCCUACACUGAAUAGAAGUGGGUCAAACAUGGAAAUUUCAAAGAAAACGUUUUGCAGGGUCAGGUCUUUCACCACACAAAGGGAGGAUUUAAAUGUUCUGAUUUCCAUUGAUUACAGUAUGAUUGACUUAAAACCUAGUGUUCUCUAGCAUGAUUGUCAACUUUUAGUAACAUUAGAACGGAUUGGAGCUAAUGGUAUGAAUGCGAGAAUUUACACUGAUUGAAUCUGGGAAAACUAUGGUUAUGGUGAUAUCAUCAAGUUUUGAUGUCUAUGUAUUAUUUUUAUUUAAUAAAGAUACAUUAGCAACUUUUAAGCUUUGUGAUAAUACAGAGAAAGGGCAAUAUAAUGGCUAAUAAUCUCAGAGGUUUUAGCCUACGGUUGCCUAACUCCAUUGUUUCUGAGAUCUUGAAGAAGCAAAACCUCAUGAUAUUCCAGUGGGGCAGAGUAAAGCUGCUCAGGUACAGGUAUCAGAAAGUGAGUAAGCAAGCAUGAUUCAGUAUCCUAUCAAGGGUACAACCCAUUGACUCACUGUGCCCAUGCAGAUUUCAUCAUCUCUUAAUCAUACAAUAAAACUACAUAUCCACCUAUCACUUACAUUUUUGAUCAGAUUAGCUUCCUUAUUUUCUAAUUAUUUCCUCAGGCAUAAACAUGAGAUUUCG
rnacentral:sRNA from 1 species